rnacentral:lncRNA from 1 species
AAACCUAACAAAUAAAGGGGUACGAUAUACUCCAAAAUAAUCCCACUAUAUUGCACUAAAAGGUAGUACAAGGCAAGCAGGGUCGAUCCACAAAGACACGAGAUAAUUAGUCUAUACCUCUUUGCGCAAGGUACUAUGNUAGUCUAUACUCUUUGCGCAAGGUACUAUGGUCACCAACAGUAAUAAGGGGGGUUUAGAAUAAAAUAAUUAAAACAAAUACUUAAAAACACAAGUAAUCAACUAAAAGAGUGAAUUAAGUUCAGAUUUUGUAAGGACUCCAACUCCAUGUAUGACAAUUUCGCAAUGUGACUCAAAGGUGACACAAUAUUCGUUCAAUUCUAUCUAAGUUGGUACUUGAAAGUGCUAAUAAGCUCUAACACUUCCCAUUCACCACAUUAAUUAACCAAAACAAGCUCGUUGAUUA